UGAGUUUAAUAUCUUCACAAUUGGGAAAUCCCAACAUAAGUUGACUGCCAGUUUGACCACUGAUCUGCAUACUAUCAGUGGGAGAGCAUGCUUAAUCCCGCAGCUUCUGCACCAUAUGUUUCCUGGCCGAGUGGUUGAAAGUUGCGACCACACAUUCCAUGGGUGAUGAUAUCUACCAAAAUUCUUGGCGGCACAGUUCUACCCUCGUCAGUUGCACUUGUCCGAGUCUUUCUCUGCCUCUCAACCAACUCGAGAUAUUCCCCCCCCCCCCCCAACUGCAUCCCGGCACAGCUUCACAUCAACCCAUCUAAUUAAUUUGUCGGAAAGGUUGACUACACAAAUUUCCUGUUUGGUUGUGGGGAUAGAAUCAUUUUUUUGUGAAAGUUUGAUUUCAGACACUUAAAAAUUGAAAUUGUC